rnacentral:rRNA from 1 species
GUAGUCAUAUGCUUGUCUCAAAGCUUAAGCCAUGCAAGUCUCAGUACGAGCUUACUUAAAGUGAAACCGCAAAAGGCUCAGUAAACCGGUCAUAGUUUACCGGAUAUAUGCCACUCACGUGGAUAACUGUGGUAAUUCUAGAGCUAAUACAUGCAAACAAGUCCCGACCAGCGAUGGAGAGGACGCUUUUAUUGGAUCAAAACCAUUCGCCCGGCUUGUCCGGGCGUCGGCUUGAUGACUCUAGAUAACACCACAGAUCGCACGGUCACAGUACCGGUGACAUAUCCUUCAAAUGUCUGACUUAUCAGCUGUCGAUGGUAGACUCUGUGUCUACCAUGGCGCUCACGGGUGACGGGGAAUCAGGGUUCGAUUCCGGAGAGGGAGCCUGAGAAACGGCUACCACAUCCAAGGAAGGCAGCAGGCACGCAAAUUACCCACUCCCGGCACGGGGAGGUAGUGACAAA